AUGGCAGCUCCGAGAGCGCUCGUCCUCGCCGUCCUGCUCGUGAUUGCCAUCGCCAACGCGGAGGCGACGUCGGUGGUCAUCGGCCUGGCCAAGUGCGCCGACUGCACCAGGAAGAACAUGAAGGCCGAGGAAGCCUUCAAGGGUCUACAGGUGGCGAUCAAGUGCAAGAACGUCGACGGCGAGUACGAGAGCAAGGCGGUGGGUUCCCUCGACGGCACCGGCGCCUUCAGCGUGCCCCUCGCUUCUGACCUCCAUGGCGCCGACUGCGUGGCUCAGCUCCACAGCGCCGCAUCCAACGCGUCGUGCCCCGGCCAGGAGCCAUCCAAGAUCGUGCCGGUGUCCGAGGGCACCACCUUCGGUGUCAUCGCCGGCGCCAACACCGCCACGCCAUCCGUGGCGUCGCCCGAGUGUGCGUCCAUGACCCUGUGCGGGCCGAUCAAGAAGCACAUCAUCGAGCACUUCCACCACAAGAAGCCGGUGCCACCGAAACCGGAGCCCAAGCCCCAGCCUCACCCGGAAUACCACCCCGUGCCCAAGCCGGAGCCGAAGCCGCAGCCCCACCCAGACUACCACCCCGUCCCUCCCAUGCCCACCUACGGCGGCGGCGGUGGCGGUGGAUACCACGGACACCACUGA
rnacentral:rRNA from 1 species